CGGCUCUCACCCAGUGCUGAAUAUCUCACUGGGGCCUCCAAAUGCUGUAACCAAGCGAGUUAUAGAGAAACACCACAGUUUGAAACUAAUUCAAGGGUCCUUUAUUAG
rnacentral:pre_miRNA from 10 species